UCUCAUUUCAUUUCUUAAGAAGAGAGCUGUCCAAAAGUUACAGAAUCAGAGCCCCUCUCUGAACAAAGUAUUGGACAAAAGUCAGGCAUUUCACAUGACUGAAUGCGGAAAAAACAAUUUCCUAGAAAAGGCGGAUCAAAAUAGCAUCCGAGACCUAUUGUCCAGUUGCCCCAAGUGCAUACGGAUUUAUCUUUCUACUCCCAAUGCUUCCAGAUAUUACAGUUAUGUGAGGUAAAGCUCCUUGAAGACUUUUGUUUGUUUGAUAUUCCUUGACCUUUAAGGCCACACCCUUAAGUUACCCUCCCAGGUGAAAAACAAUGCAGAGCAAGUAUCCACCUAUUUUCCUAGGGGAAGACUAUAUAGAAUUUGGUUUUGUUGGAGUAGCUGAGUAAAUCUACCCAAGUCCUGAAGAACAAGAGUUUUCCUUGAGAUCGAGGUGGCCUAAUCUCCAUAAGGAUUCUAGACCAAUCUAGGCACCUGAAUAUAGCAGUUGUGCUUUGUAGAAUAUUCGCUGAGCAUGAAUGUGUGGUUCCUCUGUGUGACAUUGUGAUUUAUAACAAGAAUUAUGUAUUUGGGGGGGCGCCUGGGUGGCUCAGUUGGUUAAGCGACCAACUUCUACUCAGGGCAUGAUCUCACGGCUCAUGGGUUUGAGCCCCACAUCGGCUUU